rfam:Choloepus hoffmanni cont1.612416, whole genome shotgun sequence.
UGACCCCACGGCGCUAGCCGGCCUCGUGGCCCCCCAGGCCUGGCGCCAUACAUCCGGCCACCAACGGCUUCCAACCUCCCCAACAGCACAACCUCUUUGGGGGUUCCAACGGCGGCGCCCCCUU